rnacentral:rRNA from 1 species
UACGAAGGGGGCUAGCGUUGCUCGGAAUUACUGGGCGUAAAGGGCGCGUAGGCGGAUAUUUAAGUUAGAGGUGAAAGCCCAGGGCUCAACCCUGGAAUAGCCUUUAAUACUGGAUAUCUUGAGUUCGGGAGAGGGGGAUGGAAUUCCGCGUGUAGCAGUGAAAUGCGUAGAUAUGCGGAGGGAACACCGAUGGCGAAGGCAAUCCCCUGGGCCUGCACUGACGCUCAUGCACGAAAGCGUGGGGAGCAACAGG